ACAUACGCUGGGGAUGUGUUGAAGUACCCACUGAACUAACUAUUCAUCGAGCUUAAGCCACACGCCGGUGAGUUAGUAGUUGGGUGGGUGACCACCAGCGAAUCUUCACUGUUGUAUGUC
rnacentral:rRNA from 1 species